UCGGGAAUUUUGCGCAAUGGGCGAAAGCCUGACGCAGCAACGCCGCGUGAGGGAUGAAGGCCUUCGGGUUGUAAACCUCUUUUCUCAGGGACGAUAAUGACGGUACCUGAGGAAUAAGUCACGGCUAACUACGUGCCAGCAGCCGCGGUAAUACGUAGGUGGCUAGCGUUGUCCGGAUUUACUGGGCGUAAAGAGCGCGCAGGCGGUCGUUCAAGUCGAGUGUGAAAGCCCCCGGCUCAACUGGGGAGGGUCACUCGAUACUGAUCGACUCGAAGGCAGGAGAGGGAAGCGGAAUUCCCGGUGUAGUGGUGAAAUGCGUAGAUAUCGGGAGGAACACCAGUGGCGAAGGCGGCUUUCUGGCCUGUUCUUGACGCUGAGGCGCGAAAGCUAGGGUAGCAAACGGG
rnacentral:rRNA from 1 species